UCUUAUUCAGUAAAACAAGCCUUGAACUU
rnacentral:piRNA from 1 species